rnacentral:rRNA from 1 species
GUCCAAGCCUUGAAAUUUGGGUAUAGAUGGAAGGUGGGCAUGGGAAACCAAAUCAGGUUAUGGGAAGAUACCUGGUUUGGCACAUCCCUACUAGCAGUGCAAUUCUGGUCUGUUUACACAGUUUGUAAUGAACAGACUAAAAGCAUUAGAGAUGUGUGGGAUGGAGAAAACCUUAUGCUU